UACGAGGGGGGCGAGCGUUGUUCGGAAUUAUUGGGCGUAAAGGGUGCGUAGGCGGCCUGACAAGUCUGAUGUGAAAUCCCUGGGCUCAACCCAGGGCCUGCAUCGGAAACUGUCGGGCUUGAGUAUGGGAGAGGUGAGUGGAAUUUCCGGUGUAGCGGUGAAAUGCGUAGAUAUCGGAAGGAACACCUGUGGCGAAAGCGGCUCACUGGACCAUUACUGACGCUGAGGCACGAAAAGCGUGGGGGAGCAAACAGGG
rnacentral:rRNA from 1 species